rnacentral:misc_RNA from 1 species
GUUUACCGAGUCUAUUGGACUUGCUCUUAGUGCUAUGCUAUAAUAAUAAUAAUAUGCGUGCUACUAGACAACAGGCAAUUCAUCCUGUCAUCCUUCAGAUUUCCAUUUUUACAUAUAUAUACACCGUACAUUAAGCUCAUAUGGACAUUAGAACAGGCCUGGUUGGUAUGUAAUUCUACUACACGGAUUCCACCCCACAAACGACGAACGAUGCCCUCUGUUCUGUACGCAUCGUCAGCGCGCCCUCUAGCUCCCUGGCGUGAACUUCAUGCAGAUGGGCGGCUUGACCUUGGCCAGCGCGAGCAGAGACGACGGGAACGUCCAGAUCCCGUCGCCGCAGAUGAGCCCCGAGGCGACGGCCGGCACCAGCAGCGCGGCCUUCUUGCCGUCGAGCUUGUGCCACGCGAACACCACGAGGCUCCCCACGCACAUGUCGACGGCGAAGCUGGCGCCCACGAGGAACGGCACGGCCAUGGCCAUGGGCAGCGGCACGAGCCGCGCGAGCCGGCGCGGCAGCAGGUCCCGCGCCAGGUUCGCCAGCACCGCGAACGCGAAGAACCCCGCGCACAGCUGCAGGCAGUGCCUGGGCAGCGCCGAGAAGCCCUCCACGCCGAGGAUGG